AGAAUUGUGGCUCAGUGGUAGAGCACUUGCCUGGCAUGUGAGAGGCCCUGGGUUUGAUCCUCACCACAUAUA
rnacentral:tRNA from 1 species